AACGAACGCUGGCGGCAGGCCUAACACAUGCAAGUCGAGCGCGCCCUUCGGGGUGAGCGGCGGACGGGUGCGUAACGCGUGGGAACGUGCCCUUUUCUACGGAAUAGCCUCGGGAAACUGAGAGUAAUACCGUAUACGCCCUUUGGGGGAAAGAUUUAUCGGAAAAGGAUCGGCCCGCGUUGGAUUAGGUAGUUGGUGGGGUAAUGGCCUACCAAGCCGACGAUCCAUAGCUGGUUUGAGAGGAUGAUCAGCCACACUGGGACUGAGACACGGCCCAGACUCCUACGGGAGGCAGCAGUGGGGAAUCUUAGACAAUGGGGGCAACCCUGAUCUAGCCAUGCCGCGUGAGUGAUGAAGGCCUUAGGGUUGUAAAGCUCUUUCAGCUGGGAAGAUAAUGACGGUACCAGCAGAAGAAGCCCCGGCUAACUCCGUG
rnacentral:rRNA from 1 species